GACGAACCGUGCGAACGUUGUUCGGAAUCACUGGGCUUAAAGGGCGCGUAGGCGGGGGACCAAGUCCGGGGUGAAAUCUUUCGGCUUAACCGGAAAAUUGCCUUGGAUACUGGUUCUCUUGAGGGAGGUAGGGGCAGCUGGAACUUCCGGUGGAGCGGUGAAAUGUGUUGAUAUCGGAAGGAACGCCGGUGGCGAAAGCGGGCUGCUGGACCUUUUCUGACGCUGAGGCGCGAAAGCUAGGGGAGCGAACGGG
rnacentral:rRNA from 1 species